CUGGCGGCGUGCUUAACACAUGCAAGUCGAACGAUGAAGAGAGCUUGCUCUUGGAUUAGUGGCGAACGGGUGAGUAACACGUGAGUAACCUGCCCUUGACUCUGGGAUAAGCACUGGAAACGGUGUCUAAUACCGGAUACGAGCCUCCUCCGCAUGGUGAGGGGCUGGAAAGAAUUUCGGUCAAGGAUGGACUCGCGGCCUAUCAGCUAGUUGGUGAGGUAACGGCCCACCAAGGCGACGACGGGUAGCCGGCCUGAGAGGGUGACCGGCCACACUGGGACUGAGACACGGCCCAGACUCCUACGGGAGGCAGCAGUGGGGAAUAUUGCACAAUGGGCGCAAGCCUGAUGCAGCAACGCCGCGUGAGGGACGACGGCCUUCGGGUUGUAAACCUCUUUUAGUAGGGAAGAAGCGAAAGUGACGGUACCUGCAGAAAAAGCACCGGCUAACUACGUGCCAGCAGCCGCGGUAAUACGUAGGGUGCAAGCGUUGUCCGGAAUUAUUGGGCGUAAAGAGCUCGUAGGCGGUUUGUCGCGUCUGCUGUGAAAACCCGAGGCUCAACCUCGGGCCUGCAGUGGGUACGGGCAGACUANAGUGCGGUAGGGGAGAUUGGAAUUCCUGGUGUACGGUGGAAUGCGCA
rnacentral:rRNA from 1 species